rnacentral:rRNA from 1 species
GAUGAACGCUGGCGGCGUGCCUAAUACAUGCAAGUCGAGCGAACAGACGAGGAGCUUGCUCCUCUGACGUUAGCGGCGGACGGGUGAGUAACACGUGGAUAACCUACCUAUAAGACUGGGAUAACUUCGGGAAACCGGAGCUAAUACCGGAUAAUAUAUUGAACCGCAUGGUUCAAUAGUGAAAGACGGUUUUGCUGUCACUUAUAGAUGGAUCCGCGCCGCAUUAGCUAGUUGGUAAGGUAACGGCUUACCAAGGCAACGAUGCGUAGCCGACCUGAGAGGGUGAUCGGCCACACGGGAACUGAGACAGGUUCCAGACUCUAACGGGAGGCAGCAGUAGGAAAUCUUCCGCAAUGGGCGAAAGCCGGACGAGGCAACGCCGCGUGGUUGAUGAGGUCUUCCGGUUCUAAAAACUCGUUUUUAGGGAAAAAAAAAAGGGGAAGGUACCAAGCCCCUUCUGAACGUAACCAAACCAGAAGACCCCGCCUAACUACUG